rnacentral:rRNA from 1 species
UAGGUCUCAGUUCAGAUUGCAGGCUGCAACCCGCCUGCAUGAAGUCGGAAUUGCUAGUAAUCGCGGAUCAGCAUGCCGCGGUGAAUACGUUCCCGGGCCUUGUACACACCGCCCGUCACACUAUGGGAGCCGGUAAUACCCGAAGUCAGUAGUCCAACCUCGUGAGGACGCUGCCGAAGGUAGGAUUGGCGACUGGGGUGAAGUCGUAACAAGGUAAC